AUUGAACGCUGGCGGCAUGCUUUACACAUGCAAGUCGAACGGCAGCGCGGGCUUCGGCCUGGCGGCGAGUGGCGAACGGGUGAGUAAUGCAUCGGAACGUGCCCAGUCGUGGGGGAUAGCCCGGCGAAAGCCGGAUUAAUACCGCAUACGACCUGAGGGUGAAAGCGGGGGACCGAAAGGCCUCGCGCUAUUGGAGCGGCCGAUGUCGGAUUAGCUAGUUGGUGGGGUAAAGGCUUACCAAGGCGACGAUCCGUAGCUGGUCUGAGAGGACGACCAGCCACACUGGAACUGAGACACGGCCCAGACUCCUACGGGAGGCAGCAGUGGGGAAUUUUGGACAAUGGGGGCAACCCUGAUCCAGCCAUGCCGCGUGCGGGAAGAAGGCCUUCGGGUUGUAAACCGCUUUUGUUCGGGAAGAAAUCCUCUGGGCUAAUACCCCGGGGGGAUGACGGUACCGGAAGAAUAAGCACCGGCUAACUACGUG
rnacentral:rRNA from 1 species